CAGUAGCCGCGGGAAAACGAAGGGGGCUAGCGUUGUUCGGAAUUACUGGGCGUAAAGCGCACGUAGGCGGACAUUUAAGUCAGGGGUGAAAUCCCGGGGCUCAACCCCGGAACUGCCUUUGAUACUGGGUGUCUUGAGUGUGGAAGAGGUCAGUGGAAUUGCGAGUGUAGAGGUGAAAUUCGUAGAUAUUCGCAGGAACACCAGUGGCGAAGGCGGCUGACUGGUCCACAACUGACGCUGAGGUGCGAAAGCGUGGGGAGCAAACAGGAUUAGAUACCCCAGUAGUCCCUGUCUCUUAUAC
rnacentral:rRNA from 1 species